rnacentral:rRNA from 1 species
AGAGUUUGAUCAUGGCUCAGAUUGAACGCUGGCGGCAGGCCUAACACAUGCAAGUCGAGCGGUAGCACAGAGAGCUUGCUCUCGGGUGACGAGCGGCGGACGGGUGAGUAAUGUCUGGGAAACUGCCUGAUGGAGGGGGAUAACUACUGGAAACGGUAGCUAAUACCGCAUAACGUCGCAAGACCAAAGUGGGGGACCUUCGGGCCUCAUGCCAUCAGAUGUGCCCAGAUGGGAUUAGCUAGUAGGUGGGGUAACGGCUCACCUAGGCGACGAUCCCUAGCUGGUCUGAGAGGAUGACCAGCCACACUGGAACUGAGACACGGUCCAGACUCCUACGGGAGGCAGCAGUGGGGAAUAUUGCACAAUGGGCGCAAGCCUGAUGCAGCCAUGCCGCGUGUGUGAAGAAGGCCUUCGGGUUGUAAAGCACUUUCAGCGGGGAGGAAGGCGUUAAGGUUAAUAACCUUGGCGAUUGACGUUACCCGCAGAAGAAGCACCGGCUAACUCCGUGCCAGCAGCCGCGGUAAUACGGAGGGUGCAAGCGUUAAUCGGAAUUACUGGGCGUAAAGCGCACGCAGGCGGUCUGUCAAGUCGGAUGUGAAAUCCCCGGGCUCAACCUGGGAACUGCAUUCGAAACUGGCAGGCUAGAGUCUUGUAGAGGGGGGUAGAAUUCCAGGUGUAGCGGUGAAAUGCGUAGAGAUCUGGAGGAAUACCGGUGGCGAAGGCGGCCCCCUGGACAAAGACUGACGCUCAGGUGCGAAAGCGUGGGAGCAAACAGGAUUAGAUACCCUGGUAGUCCACGCCGUAAACGAUGUCGAUUUGGAGGUUGUGCCCUUGAGGCGUGGCUUCCGGAGCUAACGCGUUAAAUCGACCGCCUGGGGAGUACGGCCGCAAGGUUAAAACUCAAAUGAAUUGACGGGGGCCCGCACAAGCGGUGGAGCAUGUGGUUUAAUUCGAUGCAACGCGAAGAACCUUACCUGGUCUUGACAUCCACAGAACUUUCCAGAGAUGGAUUGGUGCCUUCGGGAACUGUGAGACAGGUGCUGCAUGGCUGUCGUCAGCUCGUGUUGUGAAAUGUUGGGUUAAGUCCCGCAACGAGCGCAACCCUUAUCCUUUGUUGCCAGCGGUUCGGCCGGGAACUCAAAGGAGACUGCCAGUGAUAAACUGGAGGAAGGUGGGGAUGACGUCAAGUCAUCAUGGCCCUUACGACCAGGGCUACACACGUGCUACAAUGGCAUAUACAAAGAGAAGCGACCUCGCGAGAGCAAGCGGACCUCAUAAAGUAUGUCGUAGUCCGGAUUGGAGUCUGCAACUCGACUCCAUGAAGUCGGAAUCGCUAGUAAUCGUAGAUCAGAAUGCUACGGUGAAUACGUUCCCGGGCCUUGUACACACCGCCCGUCACACCAUGGGAGUGGGUUGCAAAAGAAGUAGGUAGCUUAACCUUCGGGAGGGCGCUUACCACUUUGUGAUUCAUGACUGGGGUGAAGUCGUAACAAGGUAACCGUAGGGGAACCUGCGGUUGGAUCACCU